rnacentral:rRNA from 1 species
UACGAAGGGGGCUAGCGUUGUUCGGAAUUACUGGGCGUAAAGCGCGCGCAGGCGGUUUUCCAAGUCAGUGGUGAAAGCCUGGAGCUCAACUCCAGAACUGCCAUUGAAACUGUUGGACUUGAGUACGGGAGAGGUGAGUGGAACUCCGAGUGUAGAGGUGAAAUGCGUAGAUAUUCGGAAGAACACCAGUUGCGAAGGCGGCUCGCUGGCCCGGUACUGACGCUGAUGUGCGAAAGCGUGGGGAGCAAACAGG